CCACCGCAAAAGCAAGCGCAAAAGAGCGGCUACAUUCCGCCUCCAACCCCCCCCCUUCAAAGUCGCCACUCCGGGGGAGAAGAUUUCCAGAGAAAAGGGGGGAAAGAGUGAGAAAAAAAAGACUUAUUUUUGCACACACUCAGGGCAAAGUUAUGCAGAAGGGAAAACAACUGUUGCUCUUUCGCUGCCUCCUUGAUCAAGCCCACCCACCCCUCGCUUCCCUCUGAAUCCCCAAACUCCAAAUCAAACAGGUAGCUCUUAAAAAAUACCUUUCCUGCACCGGGUCAUCACGCGCUGAAGACGGCGGAGGCUGGCGUGGUUCCUCCGUUCCCUAACAGUUCGGCACCUCCUGCCACCCACCAACUCCCCCCUACGAGAGAAAAGGGGGGGACCCUCUCCUUUUAUUUCCCCUCCCCCUCUUCUGUUGUUUUCCCUGCCAAAGCUUGGAGAGUUCAGCUGCAAGCUCCGAAUUGGCUCCGCUUUGGGCAAAGGGCUCCCCGCUUCAUCUCGGCCCUAAAAAAAAUGAAAGCUCGAACCAACUUCUCUCCCACCCAGAGUUCUUGGGGUGUUUUCUUGCAGGGCAAAGGCCCCGUUUAUACAAAAGAGGGGGGAGAUGGCGGUGGAAAAGCGAGGGGGGGCGAGGCUUCAAUUCCUCCCAGGGCCUCCGCUCAGGAGCCCCGGCAGCCGCACGCAGCCAUAUUUGCUGCACCGGGCUUCUGCCGCUCCUGCAGUUUUUCCUGGGUGCAGGAAAUGCAUUUCCCUGCGUUGCCUGCGGCCGCCUUCCUCUCGGCUCCGGGAGAGAAGAAAGCGGGCGCCCGCCCCGCCCCCAGCAAUGGAGAAGCGGGGGGAAGGAAGGAAGGGAGAAAAAGUGAGGAGGGAAAAGGGGUGCAAAAACGGGAGGCAACAAGCACCUAGCAGGAGGAGGAGGAAGGGAUGAGGGCGAUGGCCACUCGUGCUGCUGCUGCCGCCGUUGUUUGCUCCAUGCUUUGGAUCCUUUCUGUUGUUGCUGCUGCUGCUGCGCCUUUGCUCGGCUAAGUUUCGCCUUCCCAGCUCCCCGCCGCAGCUUCCUCCGCCAUAGCUCGCCCUGGCCGUCAAUCAAAAGAGCCUUUGCUUUGGCAAAUGUGUAAGGCGAGGUAAACGGGAGGAGGAGCUCCCUCUUUCUCCAAGCCGCUCCCUGGCUCUGUUCAAGAGUUGCAAGGGAAAGGGCGGGGGUGGGGUGGUAGAAGCCCGUCCCACUCUUAAUUACCGUCCUCCAACUGCACCUUUUAAAUAGGUACAGGCAGCGCUGCCAAAAAAAAAAGCUCUUUGGGAUGGAAGUUAUCAUUUAACAAAUGCUGCUUUGGUGCUCCUUUGCUGUCUCCCCAUGUGGACAGUCUUGCACCGAACACCCUUUCAUCUUACCCAUCUCGACUACCUUGUAGUGAAGCUUUGUUCUUUGUGCUUCACCUGUCAGCAGCCAAGCAAGCUGCAGCAUGAUGACACACUUGCAUGUUUAUUCUAUAGUAAGAUAGCAGGCAUCACCUUUUUUAGCUCUGGCUGGUUUGCCAGCUGCAGCGCCUUUGGGAAUAGAUAGAGAUGACUUUGCCACUGUACACCAUGCUCCGGUAACUUCCAGGCUGGGUUAUUGCAGUGCACUCUACGUGCGCCCUUGAAGAGGACUCUUAAGCUUCAAUUGGACCAACAUACAGAAGCCAGGUUUCUGGUUGAGGUUCCAUUUAGAUCUCAGAUAAAACCUGUGUUUUAAAACAGCUGCACUGGUUGCCAGUUUGUUUCAGGGCCAAAUUCAAGGUGCUCGUGCUAGUAUUUAAAGCUGUAAAUGACUUAGGCCCCAAAUAUCUGAAAAACUGCCUCCUUCCCUAUGGACCCUCUCAGGUGCUAAGAUUGAUAGAAGCAUCCUCUUGUUGGUUCUUCUGUCCUCAGAGGCUCAGGGGAUGGGUUUGGUCCAGGAAAGCGCAUUGUCUGUGGCAUUCCUAAAUUGUGGAACUCCUUCCCUUCUGAGGUGGCACCUUCAUAAUACAUCUUCUGGCAAAUGCUGAAGAUGCACCUUUUUAGCCUGGCUUUUGACACUUGAGCUAUAUAUUUUUAGGACUCACCUUAUUUUUGUGAUUGUAAGUUGCUUUAAAGUGUUUUUAAUAGUGUUCUAAUGUUGUGACCUGUCCUGGGACCUUAGAGUGAAGGGUGGGCUAAUAUUCAUCAUCAUCUGCUCAAUUUGGAGUCAAACCAUGCCUUUAUCCACAUGUUUGCUCUCCAGCCUAUCAUCUGUGCCCCCUCUUGUUAAAAUUAAGAGGGCUUCAGGCAUACAACACCUGCAUGGAGACUGAGAUGGGAGGAUGGCAAUGGAUAGGAAAAACUAGCAUUCCUGAUUCAAGAGAUUUAAAAAGCAAGGGGAGAGUCUCUGGGUUGCAAACUGAGAACCCAACAUUUCCCAUGAACAGCUCCUAGAGCAACUAACCUCAACUGGUCACAACAUGAGGUAAGCAGGUAUAGUCACAGAGAAGGAAAUCCUGGGGAAACCCAGCCGGAUGGGCGGGGUAUAAAUAAAUUAUUAUUCAUCAUCAUCAUCCAAGCACUUCUGUGUCACUGUGGGAAGCCCAGGGCAACCAGGGUAGAUACCUUAUAAAGGGCUCUAAAUCUCUUAGUUCCAGGCAUGGAAAGGCUGAGCAUGGGACCAGAGGUCUCAAGUAGUCAUACACAUGCCUGACCACCGAAUUGCAUCUGCAUUCCCACAAGUGACAUUUGAAUGACUUCUUCUGCCACAUAUUACACAGUCUCAUCCUGUUCCAACUUGCAUGAGCUGACAGAUUGACUGAAGUAUGACUGGAAGCAGUUCCCUUUUUAAGCUCAUCUUGUGGAAAAUAACUUUGUCGAAAUGAAGGAGUCUCAAGGUUGUGCUUUUAAAAAUCACAACAGAUGCACAGAUAGCAGCAGAGAAUUACACUGUAUGGUGCAUGUGCACACCAGCCUCCCUCAAGUCACUCUGCCCACAGUAUUUCCUGUCCCCUUUUUGUUCUUCUCAUCACCUAUGCUGGGGUGGACAGAAGGUAGACCAGGAUUUAUUGGUAGAUGUCUAGGCGAUUUGCCAUAGAUCGGCAAGGAUAUCUGAUUCUAACUGCUUAACAAUAGCAAUCAAAAAACCACUGUUCCCACCUAAGUCCCCAUCUGCCCUAUGAAUUUAAAGCAAUACCAUACCACUUUAAAUAGGCAUGGCUCCUCCCAAAGAAUCAUGGGGACUGUAGUUUGUUAAGAGUGGAAUAAGGGUUACCUAACAACUCUCAACACUCCUAACAACUAGUUCUCAGGAUUCUCUGGGGGAAGCGCUAUUUAUAGUGGUGUGGUACUGCUUUAAAUGCAUAGUGCAGAUGGGGCCUAAAUUAGGCUGGUGAAAUAAAGAAAGCUAAUUGGGAGUAGACUUUUGCAUGGAAAGGACUCUGAGCUCAGUUAAGAUCUGGUACUGACAACAAGUUCCUGGACUCCGUAUGUGCUCAGAGAUAGCCUGUUCUUUCAUUGUAGUUGCCUUGGUCUGGAUGGUAGAUCCUGAGCAGGGAUAGUCAACAUAGUGCCAUCCAGAUAUUGUUGACUACAGCUCCCAUCAUCCAUGGCAAUUGGUCUUGCUAGCUGGGAUUGAUGGCAGCUGUAGUCCAAACCUUCAGGCAUUGCAGGGGGUUGGAUGAGAUGAUCAUCAGGGCCCCUUCCAACUCUACAGUUCUAUGACAACAUGUUGGCUAUCCCUGAUCUUGGAUCCGGUUUGGGUUUUUACAAGAACUCCAAGAAGCCAGAGACCGGCCAACCUCCGCCUUAGAUUGCCUGCCAACUUCUGUCCCACUUCCCAUUUUCCACUCCAACCUAAUAGCUGUUCUAACCAGGAGGAGGCGGCUGCAAAAAACUGUAUCGCUGUGAUGGGUUUUCCAGCCUUCAUCUGUAACAUUGAGAAUAUAGGACAUUAUAAGCAAUUGGCAGCUCAAGCUGGUCCCCCAGCUGUGUCCCAAGGACCUCUCCUAUUAUUUGUGAUGUGCUGAUGAACAAACAUAAAAAGAAAUCUGGUCUCACUGCAACUUUCUUGCCCAAGUUGUUUCUUCUGAAGAGAACCCUCAACAUUUGUCUUUGAAUUUUGCUUUAAGUGAUGUUUUGGUGGUAACUUGUAGAAAUACGUUUAUCUAGCACACAAAGCAUUAUCAUCACAAUUGUCUUAUAACACAGUAACCAUUGGAAAUAAGCCAGUAUUAUUAUCCCCACAUUUUGGGUGGGCAGCUGAGACUGAGAAUAUAUAUA